rnacentral:rRNA from 1 species
GACAGAGGUGCCAAGCGUUAGGCGGAAUCACUGGGCUUAAAGCGUGUGUAGGCGGAUCGUUAAGUGCCUUGUGAAAUCCCACGGCUUAACCGUGGAACUGCUCGGCAUACUGGCGGUCUUGAGCAACCUAGGGGCGAGCGGAACAAAUGGUGGAGCGGUGAAAUGCGUAGAUAUCAUUUGGAACGCCAAUGGUGAAAACAGCUCGCUGGGGGUGUACUGACACUGAGACACGAAAGCCAGGGGAGCGAACGGG